CAGUCGCCGCGGUAAUGCAGAGGAUGCAAGCGUUAUCCGGAAUGAUUGGGCGUAAAGCGUCUGUAGGUGGCUUUUCAAGUCCGCUGUCAAAUCCCAGGGCUCAACCCUGGACAGGCGGUGGGAACUACCAAGCUGGAGUACGUUAGGGGCAGAGGGAAUUUCCGGUGGAGCGGUGAAAUGCGUUGAGAUCGGAAAGAACACCAACGGCGAAAGCACUCUACUGGGCCGACACUGACACUGAGAGACGAAAGCUAGGGGAGCAAAUGGGAUUAGAUACCCGCGUAGUCCCUGUCUCUUAUAC
rnacentral:rRNA from 1 species